rnacentral:rRNA from 1 species
GAUGAACGCUAGCGGCAGGCUUAACACAUGCAAGUCGAGGGGUAGAAGGAGCUUGCUCCUUUGAGACCGGCGCACGGGUGCGUAACGCGUAUGCAAUCUACCUUUUGCAGAGGGAUAGCCCAGAGAAAUUUGGAUUAAUACCUCAUAGUAUGUGAGGAUGGCAUCAUUUUCACAUUAAAGUCACAACGGCAAAGAUGAGCAUGCGUCCCAUUAGCUAGUUGGUAAGGUAACGGCUUACCAAGGCGACGAUGGGUAGGGGUCCUGAGAGGGAGAUCCCCCACACUGGUACUGAGACACGGACCAGACUCCUACGGGAGGCAGCAGUGAGGAAUAUUGGACAAUGGGCGCAAGCCUGAUCCAGCCAUGCCGCGUGCAGGAUGACGGUCCUAUGGAUUGUAAACUGCUUUUGUACAGGAAGAACCCUUUCACGUGUGAGAGAUUGACGGUACUGUAAGAAUAAGGAUC